rnacentral:rRNA from 1 species
UGGGGAAUCUUGCGCAAUGGGCGAAAGCCUGACGCAGCGACGCCGCGUGAGUGAUGAAGGCCUUCGGGUUGUAAAGCUCUGUGGGGAGAGAAGAAUAAGUGCGGGCUAAUACCCCGCAUGAUGACGGUAUCUCCUUAGCAAGCACCGGCUAACUCUGUGCCAGCAGCCGCGGUAAGACAGAGGGUGCAAACGUUGUUCGGAAUUACUGGGCGUAAAGCGAGUGUAGGCGGUUUGGUAAGUCGGAUGUGAAAGCCCCGGGCUCAACCCGGGAAGUGCAUUCGAUACUGCCAAGCUAGAGUAUCGGAGAGGUUGGUGGAAUUCUCGGUGUAGAGGUGAAAUUCGUAGAUAUCGAGAGGAACACCGGUGGCGAAGGCGGCCAACUGGACGAAUACUGACGCUGAGACUCGAAAGCGUGGGGAGCAAACAGGAUUAGAUACCCCGGUAGUCCCUGAGCGGGCUGGCAAGGCGCAU